rnacentral:rRNA from 1 species
AUUGAACGCUGGCGGCAGGCUUAACACACGCAAGUCGAGCGGGGUGAGGUGCUUCGGUACUGAUCCUAGCGGCGGACGGGUGAGUAAUGCUUAGGAAUCUGCCUAUUAGUGGGGGACAACAUUCCGAAAGGAAUGCUAAUACCGCAUACGCCCUACGGGGGAAAGCAGGGGAUCUUCGGACCUUGCGCUAAUAGAUGAGCCUAAGUCAGAUUAGCUAGUUGGUGGGGUAAAGGCCUACCAAGGCGACGAUCUGUAGCGGGUCUGAGAGGAUGAUCCGCCACACUGGGACUGAGACACGGCCCAGACUCCUACGGGAGGCAGCAGUGGGGAAUAUUGGACAAUGGGCGCAAGCCUGAUCCAGCCAUGCCGCGUGUGUGAAGAAGGCCUUUUGGUUGUAAAGCACCUUAAGCGAGGAGGAGGCUACCUGGAUUAAUACUCUAGGAUAGUGGACGUUACUCGCAGAAUAAGCACCGGCUAACUCUGUGCCAGCCGCCGCGGUAACAC